rnacentral:lncRNA from 1 species
UUGAAAACUACUGAACAAAAAUAAUCUUAAGUUCCAAAUCUGUUUCUUAGAAUACUCUUUUAGAAUUUAGAAUAGUCUUUGAACAAUGAAAGGGAGGAAAGGAACAGUAUAAUAGCUCGAGGAAGUUAUAGGUAAAAUGUAAUUCAUCUGUUAGGUUUAGGCAGAUUUAAACUUGUUUGAAGGUCAAAGACAACAAGCAAGUAGAAGGGGAAUUGAGGAUGAAGGAAGUGAUGCUCUGUAAUGAGUAGAACCACAGGCAGAACACCCCUGCUGAGAGCCAUCAGGCCAUGAUGUAUUGACAUGGUCACUUGUGGAAGCCAGAAGAUCACAAAGUGGCUCCUUGGCAGAAUGGAAUCAUCCACUCAGCCCCCUCUAUGAUGAAAUGGGAACUCAAAAGAGAAGUGAUUCGCCUAAGGUCAUCCAGUUCCUGAGCAGCAAAGAAAGGACUAGAGUCCAAACCUUCAGAUUGUGAGUCUCGUGGUCUUUUCACUAGUCUGCUUCAAGAAAUGUUUAUAUAAUACAUGACUUUCCUUUUUGUCCUAUCCCUUAAAACCCAAUUCUAGCCUUAACUCCAUUAGUUGCUUACAUUUCAAAUUCUCUCCAUGGAAUUGAUUUGUUCAAGAAAUAAUCUGAAAGUAUGUCAUAGCUUCCUUCUCACAGAGGAUGGGUGAAGUCAUUCAUUUUCUUGUAAAAGCCACUGCGAACUUGGUUGAAUUCUAUUGGAGAUAGUGCACUUAGUAUUGGUACUCCCUGAAUGUUCCCCUUUUGGGGAAAGAAAAAUGGAUAGUUAACUUGUUAAAUCCUAUCAUUGCCUAAAACUGAAAAAGUUUUAAGAAUUCUUUGGUCCCU